GACUUAGCCUUGUCUCCGAAUGCCUCUAGAUUAGAGUUGAUCAUGGCUCAGAGCUGAACGCUGGCGGUAGGCCUAACACAUGCAAGUCGAACGGCAGCACAGGAGAGCUUGCUCUCUGGGUGGCGAGUGGCGGACGGGUGAGGAAUACAUCGGAAUCUACUCUGUCGUGGGGGAUAACGUAGGGAAACUUACGCUAAUACCGCAUACGACCUACGGGUGAAAGCAGGGGAUCUUCGGACCUUGCGCGAUUGAAUGAGCCGAUGUCGGAUUAGCUAGUUGGCGGGGUAAAGGGGCCCCCACCAAGGCGACGAUCCGUAGCUGGUCUGAGAGGAUGAUCAGCCACACUGGAACUGAGACACGGUCCAGACUCCUACGGGAGGCAGCAGUGGGGACAUACUUAGGACAAUGGNGCNGGCGAAGGGCACGUUGGAUACGCGAAGGGCACCAAAUUCAGCGCAGACGGGUUAGGCGAGGUAGGAAAAGGGA
rnacentral:rRNA from 1 species